rnacentral:rRNA from 1 species
UGGGGAAUAUUGCACAAUGGGGGAAACCCUGAUGCAGCGGCGCAGCGUGCGGGAUGACGGCCUUCGGGUUGUAAACCGCUUUCAGCAGGGAAGAAGCGAAAGUGACGGUACCUGCAGAAGAAGUACCGGCUAACUACGUGCCAGCAGCCGCGGUAAUACGUAGGGUACGAGCGUUGUCCGGAAUUAUUGGGCGUAAAGAGCUCGUAGGUGGUUGGUCACGUCUGCUGUGGAAACGCAACGCUUAACGUUGCGCGUGCAGUGGGUACGGGCUGACUAGAGUGCAGUAGGGGAGUCUGGAAUUCCUGGUGUAGCGGUGAAAUGCGCAGAUAUCAGGAGGAACACCGGUGGCGAAGGCGGGACUCUGGGCUGUAACUGACACUGAGGAGCGAAAGCAUGGGGAGCGAACA